AAUAUUGCGCAAUGGGGGAAACCCUGACGCAGCGACGCCGCGUGAAGGAAGAAGGCCUUCGGGUUGUAAACUUCUUUGAUCGGGGACGAAGAUGACGGUACCCGAGGAACAAGCCACGGCUAACUACGUGCCAGCAGCCGCGGUAAUACGUAGGUGGCGAGCGUUGUCCGGAAUUACUGGGUGUAAAGGGCGUGUAGGCGGGGCGCCAAGUCAGGUGUGAAAUUCCGGGGCUUAACUCCGGGUAUGCACCUGAAACUGGUACUCUUGAGUGUCGGAGAGGAAAGUGGAAUUCCCAGUGUAGCGGUGAAAUGCGUAGAUAUUAGGAGGAACACCAGUGGCGAAGGCGACUUACUGGACUGCAACUGACGCUGAGUCACGAAAGCGUGGGGAGCAAACAGG
rnacentral:rRNA from 1 species